CCAACGAAGAGACCCGCGAUCUGCUAGAAAACGGAGGGACGCACGAUCUGGCAGUAAAGGAAGAGACGAGUGAUCUGGCCAACGAAGAGACGCGCGAUCUGCCAGAAAACGGAGGGACACGCGAUCUGGCAGUAAAGGGAGAGACGAGUGAUCUGGCCAACUAAGAGACGGGCGGUCUGUAAAUACCAGUAUUGUUUGACCUAAAUAUCAGACUGAAAAAUAUGAAGGAUUGUACAAUUUGUGUGUAGCGUUUGAGUGUGCUAGAUGUGUCUAGAAUGUGCUAGAAGUUAUUGAAGGCUAAAGCAGGAGGAGUGUUCAGGAUAUAUGUUCUCACAGGACCAGACUUGACCCCACUGUUAUACAUUAUAAAAUACAUCUCUGUGAGAUGAACUUGUAAAUGAAAUAAUCUCCUAUCUUUUCCAUGAUGUAACUAUUAGCAGGUCUUUCUCCACCCUCUGGAUAUCACUACAGUGCUCCAGUUCAUACUCCAAGUAAACAGCAUAGCAAUGAUUAUUUGAGAGAGUCAAGUCACCUAAGAGUGAUACUGACGAGCUGAAUGAAACAUGAUGACUAAUCUAAGCUUUAGGUUAAUAUGUCAGGAAUGUCCCUUCACAAGCAGAACCAGUCAUGUGAUUAUGCCUGAAACUGAAAGGCAGAACUUUGCCAGUCAAGUAAGUAGGGAAGGUGCUUUGUUUCGCCAACAGGCAAAGCAUUUUUGUUGCAUUUGCAAUAACAUUAAAUGGUUGUGAAAUUAUUUGAAUGCCAUGUCUAAAUAAUAAUGAUCUCUAUAUUUUUAUGUGUACAUUUUUCUUUUUUAAACUCAGGUGAAAAUUUCUGUAAGCUUGUCUUAUCACUGUUCUUUGGCAUGUGGCUCAGCGUGUUCCAUUCCCAGAACUUGAACUAAGAAUUACAAGGGCACAAAUAUCUCUGUGUGUGUGUGUGUGUGUGUGUGUGUGUAUGCCUCAAGUUCAGAUACACUCUUGAAAGCAAAUGAAAGUAAAAAAAGAAAAGCGCUUUCACUUUUUGUAAUGCAGUCAUAUUUGUUAGAUACCAGUAUUGUUUGAGCUAAAUAUCAAACUGAAAAAUAUGAAGGAUUGUACAAUAUGUGUAUAGCAUUUGAAAUGUGCUAGAAGUUAUUGUAAGCUAAAGAGGGAGGAGUGUUCAGGAUAUACAUUUUUGUUUCAUUUGCAAUACCAUUAAAUGGUUGUGAAAUCAUUUUCAAAAUUUCUAAACAAUGAUGAUCUGUAUCUUUUGUAAAAAAAAAAUAUUAAAACUCAGAAGAAGAUCAUUUGUGAAAGCUUGUCUUAUCACUGUUCUUUGGCAUGUUGCUCAGCGUGGUCCAGCCCCAGAACUUGAACUAAGAAUUAAAAGUGUACAAAUA
ensembl:lncRNA